CUUGUACACACCGCCCGUCACACCAUGGGAGCGGGUUUCACCAGAAGUAGGUAGUCUAACCGCAAGGAGGGCGCUUACCACGGUGAGAUUCGUGACUGGGGUG
rnacentral:rRNA from 1 species